UACGUAGGAGGCAAGCGUUUGUCCGGAAUUACUGGGCGUAAAGCGCGUGUAGGUGGUGGGACAAGUCUGCUGUGAAAGCGCCUGGCUUAACCGGGCGAGGUCGGCGGAAACUGUCCGACUCGAGGACGGUAGAGGGGGGUGGAAUUCCCGGUGUAGUGGUGAAAUGCGUAGAGAUCGGGAGGAACACCUGUGGCGAAGGCGGCCCCCUGGGCCGGCCCUGACACUGAGACGCGAAGGCGUGGGGGAGCGAACGGG
rnacentral:rRNA from 1 species